CACCUGAGAACUUCAUUUCCUAGUAGUGAGAGAUCUUUACCCAGAAUCUUCAAGGAAUAAAAGUCAUUCAAAAAAAGCAAGUGGAAUCUUUAACUUCUGAGAAGAAACUGUUUCUUCCUAGCUCCCUGUCUAGAGAAUAGCUCUGCUAAUCUUAGUGGAUAUCCUGUUUUGCACGUUGACAUGACUUUGGAUGAUGCUCAAAAUCAGUUGACUUGAAAGAAUCUUCCAGAAGUAUUCUAACACCUGCAUCCUGGCCGGCUGUUACAUCUUCCAGCAUGGAUCAUGAAGUAAACAGAACAGGAUUGCCUCUACUACACAUCCCUCCUUUUCUCUAUGGUUUCAAUGCUAAAGAGCCCAGAGCAGACACUUGUGUACCAAUUUUUAUCUUCUUGAUGACCGGCCUACCUUUCAAAUUGGCUCAGUUGGAUUACCUUUGUUUGAAAUCAGCUUUAUUACAACUAUCCAAAGAUGUAGCAUGUCAAGUUUGACUGUCUCAGUCCCAUUCAGGUAUGAUUUUUAUCAAUGAAGUUCAAAACAAAAAUGUGACUAAUUUUAGAUGAUGUAUGAGACUUUACUGGGAGGAAACCUGAAAUGUCCUUCCCAAAACUAGACUUCUUAAUGGAAAGAAAAUUAUUUUAAACAAGAUGAGUCUGACUGCUCUAAAUAAAGUUUAAAUAUGCUUUAAGUACAGUGAUAUAAGGCAUAAAUUAGACUGCAUCUUCCUAGCAGAU